GACGUAGGGCGCGAGCGUUGUCCGGAUUUAUUGGGCGUAAAGAGCUCGUAGGCGGCUUGUCGCGUCGGCUGUGAAAACCCGCGGCUCAACUGUGGGCGGGCAGCUGAUACGGGCAGGCUGGAGUUCGGUAGGGGAGACUGGAAUUCCUGGUGUGAGCGGUGAAAUGCGCAAAUAUCAGGAGGAACACCGGUGGCGAAGGCGGGUCUCUGGGC
rnacentral:rRNA from 1 species